rnacentral:rRNA from 1 species
UACGUAGGUGGCAAGCGUUGUCCGGAAUUAUUGGGCGUAAAGCGCGCGCAGGCGGUCCUUUAAGUCUGAUGUGAAAAGCCCACGGCUCAACCGUGGAAGGUCAUUGGAAACUGGAGGACUUGAGUACAGAAGAGGAAAGCGGAAUUCCACGUGUAGCGUGAAAUGCGUAGAGAUGUGGAGGAACACCAGUGGCGAAGGCGGCCUCUGGUCUGUAAACUGACGCUGAGGCGCGAAAAGCGUGGGGGAGGCAAACAGGA